rnacentral:rRNA from 1 species
UGCAAGGUCGACGAAGCUUUCGGGCUUAGUGGCGCACGGGUGCGUAACGCGUAUGCAAUUUACCUUUUACAGGGGGACAACACUAGGAAACUGGUGCUAAUACCGCGUAAUAAAUAGAGAGGCAUCUUUUUAUUUUAAAAGAAUUUCGGUAAGAGAUAAGCAUGCGUCCCAUUAGCUAGUUGGUAAGGUAACGGCUUACCAAGGCCACGAUGGGUAGGGGAACUGAGAGGUUUAUCCCCCACACUGGUACUGAGAUACGGACCAGACUCCUACGGGAGGCAGCAGUAAGGAAUAUUGGGCAAUGGGCGAGAGCCUGACCCAGCCAUGCCGCGUGCAGGAUGACGCUCCUCGUUGGGUGUAAACUGCUUUUAUUAGGGAAGAACAAGUUUCUGCGGAGACAACUGACGGUACCUAAUGAAUAAGCACCGGCUAACUACGUGCCAGCAGCCGCGGUAAUACGUAGGGUGCAAGCGUUGUCCGGAUUUAUUGGGUUUAAAGGGUGUGUAGGCGGUCUAGUAAGUUUUGGGUGAAAGCCCACCGCUCAACGGUGGAACUGCCUGAGAUACUGCUAGACUUGAGUAUAGUUAAAGUUACUAGAAUUGGUGGUGUAGCGGUGAAAUGCAUAGAUACCACCAGGAAUACCAAUUGCGAAGGCAGGUAACUAGGCUAUAACUGACGCUGAGGCACGAAAGCAUGGGUAGCGAACAGGAUUAGAUACCCUGGUAGUCCAUGCUGUAAACGAU